UGGCCAGAGAGCAUUUUAGUAAGGAAAGAGGGCAAAAGACAGUGGUCCAGAACUCCUAACAUGGAGCUGAGCAUGUCGGUUAGGAUCCAGAGAACAGCCACGAAGCAGGAUUGACCCAAGUAUGGAAGCUAGAUAAAAAGUUUUAUUGGCCUCAGGCUGAAGUUUGCAAUUAUAUUCCAAAUACCCAAAGUGGGUAUAUUAUUGACGUUGUCCUGAGAGAGGGACAGACAGUUUGACUGUGUUGCUUUCUUUGGAGUCAGUUUUGGGGCUGUUAAGGAUUACCUGGAAACAUUAGAUGAAGCUGGGGCUGGACACUUCUUCUCAGGACAGAAGCACAUUCAUCUAAAUGGAAAUCUAAGGUUGGGAGGAUGCGAAGUGCCAUUUCAUCGUGUCCUAUCCGGAAUGCAUACUCUCAGCAUAACAGCACCAGUGCCAUACCUAGAGAGGCCUUUCCGAGUUACCCUAACACAAAAAGGUGUUUCCAGUCAUUCUCACAUCAGCCUUUUAGUUAUUUUUUCAGUACUUAUCACAACUGGGGAUUGUUGUCUUGUUGGACUGUUUGUCUGUUCCUCUAACUGGACUGUAAGCUUUAGGAGGGCAGAACUGUGUUUAUCUUGUUCACCUGUUUGUUCCCAGCACCUAGUACCCUGCCUGGCACA
rnacentral:lncRNA from 1 species